rnacentral:rRNA from 1 species
UUACCAUGCAGUCGAACGAUGAACCACUUCGGUGGGGAUUAGUGGCGAACGGGUGAGUAACACGUGGGCAAUCUGCCCUGCACUCUGGGACAAGCCCUGGAAACGGGGUCUAAUACCGGAUACUGACCUUCACGGGCAUCUGUGAAGGUCGAAAGCUCCGGCGGUGCAGGAUGAGCCCGCGGCCUAUCAGCUUGUUGGUGAGGUAAUGGCUCACCAAGGCGACGACGGGUAGCCGGCCUGAGAGGGCGACCGGCCACACUGGGACUGAGACACGGCCCAGACUCCUACGGGAGGCAGCAGUGGGGAAUAUUGCACAAUGGGCGAAAGCCUGAUGCAGCGACGCCGCGUGAGGGAUGACGGCCUUCGGGUUGUAAACCUCUUUCAGCAGGGAAGAAGCGAAAGUGACGGUACCUGCAGAAGAAGCGCCGGCUAACUACGUGCCAGCAGCCGCGGUAAUACGUAGGGCGCAAGCGUUGUCCGGAAUUAUUGGGCGUAAAGAGCUCGUAGGCGGCUUGUCACGUCGGUUGUGAAAGCCCGGGGCUUAACCCCGGGUCUGCAGUCGAUACGGGCAGGCUAGAGUUCGGUAGGGGAGAUCGGAAUUCCUGGUGUAGCGGUGAAAUGCGCAGAUAUCAGGAGGAACACCGGUGGCGAAGGCGGAUCUCUGGGCCGAUACUGACGCUGAGGAGCGAAAGCGUGGGGAGCGAACAGGAUUAGAUACCCUGGUAGUCCACGCCGUAAACGGUGGGCACUAGGUGUGGGCAACAUUCCACGUUGUCCGUGCCGCAGCUAACGCAUUAAGUGCCCCGCCUGGGGAGUACGGCCGCAAGGCUAAAACUCAAAGGA